UGUUAAAAAAGAAAUGAAUAAUCGCCAUGUCGAACAAAAAAUAUUGGUCGAAAAGAAGAAAAAAAAUCAAGUCGGUCUAAAAUCACAUCGUGUAUGGAUCAAUUCUUUCGUAGAAAUACUACUCCGCCUCCAACAGAUGGCUAUGAAAAUGACGAAAAUUACAUCAAAAAUCGAAGCGGUAAAAACCGUAAAAAAAUACGGCAAAAUUUAUAGCGGUGUUAAAAAAAAGAAAUUAAUAAUCGCCAUGUCGAACAAAAAAUAUUGGACGAAAAUUGAAAAAAAAAAUCAAGUCGGUCUAAAAUCACAACGUGUGUGGAUAAUUUCUUUUGUAGAAAUACUACUCCGCCUUCAACAGAUGGCUAUGAAAAUGACGAAAAUUACAUCAAAAAUCGAAGCGGUAAAAACCGUUCAGUCGCAAAUAUAGGCGAGGAGGCUGCUCAUUUCCCAACUUCGACACAAUGCAAAAAGUGGCCAUGCCACAGAAAAAAAAUGACGGGAAUUAUGAUAAAAUCUUAUCUACAGCGGAUCGAUAGCAACUGCAGCACUCACAGCUUAUAAAAAAAAGUCGGAAACCAAUUUUGGGGAAACGGUGGGGAAAAUGACAACAGUAAAACAAACAAAACGGCGGAAAAUACGGCAAAAUUACGGCAAAAUUUACAGCGGUGUUACAAAAAAAAUUAAUAAUCGCCAUGUCGAACGAAAAAGUCGGUGACCAAAAUGACAGGAUUUACGGUAACUACAUCGUCAUUUUUAAGACCUUCUUUUUCCGCAGAACUAUAUACGUGUGCAGGAUGCAUUAGGAAAGAAUACUGCAUUAGCAGUGUCGACACAUUUUUGUACAUUGUGGGCGGCACCAUGAGUGUGCAUUAUAACAAAAUAAUCGUGUCUGUUUUUAAAAGAAAAUCAUGGAAAACAUUGAAAUAAACAUGCAUGGUAAACACGGGUAAAAUCAUUCAUUCCUAAGGUUGCAGGUAAGCUUUUAUUAGACAUAGUUAUUGGCUGCAUUGGAAUGUUUCUCUUCAGUAACAAAUGGGCUAGGCCCAGUGUUUUCGCACCCCUGUUAACUUAGGAAAGAGUUGCAGCUUUCAUCGGAGAAAAUGAGGAUCUAAAAGUGGAGACAUGCAGACUGGAUGAGCUAGGCUGCUUAGUCAGGACGAAAAUGGACCCUCCCACAGCCUCAUCACACACAGAAACUCGAGGAACCGGAAGCAGGGAGGAGGACCGACAGAUGAACGGAUGACCUGCUUGCUGGGCUUCCCAUUACUGAUUCUUGAGGACCUUCUGCAACUGAACCAGAUGGAUUCUGCAACUGGAUGUAACAUGCUUGACAAGGAAGAGAAUCUUACGUGUUGACUUUAAGAGGAUGAAGCUUCUCCACAAAUGAAUGCCAAGGAACCAGAUGCUGGAAAGACCGACAGAUGCCUGACCCUCCUUGCCGAGCUGGACAUUACUAAUUCUUGAGGUGCAAGAAAGAGACCAAGUUUUAGAACAUGAGGACAACCAAGCUUGGAUGAGACUGGACAAUGACGAAGCUUAUCUCUCUAUGGACAAGGAUAGUCUCAUCAGAAACCAAGAACCGGAAGAAGCAAGCAAGGAAGACCAACAGAUGAACCGAUGACCCUGUUUUCUGCGCUUGCCUUUACCAAUUCCUUAAGUUAGUUUUACUCAAGGAACAAGAAAGAAUAAACAAGUACAAUGAAGAGGAAGUCUCAUCUACAGUGAACAUUUUUGCGUGUUGGCGGUAGUGCUAAAGCCCCAUGCCAAUUUGCCAAUGAAACAAAAACACUGUUGCCAUUUAACUUGAUAGUGCAUUUUUUUCAAUGAUAACUAAUUUAAGUAAAUACAAGAGUUUUAAACGCUUUCAAAAAAAUUAGGAUGUUUGAGAAAUUAACAAAGUUAAGAUGUCUAUGUAGCUAAAAUGGGUUAUUUUCUUUACAAUUUUAAAUCGAUUAGAAAAACUCAAGAAUGUAAAACUUUUGGAAAGUUUCAAGAAUCACCGGGAGUUGUUCAUGAAUUUCUCUGUACCAAAAUGUUGGAAAAUUUAAGGACUGUUGAAGACCUCUCCCCUCACUUUUAUGUCACCUACCUUAAAAAGUUUAAAUGGUUCUUCUUUGUUCCCCCUCAGAAAACUCCUUAAUGCAUUGCAACAGGUUACUGGCACUCAGAUUACAUUGUGUAUAUCCUUUUGUAUUGUCUGUUUGAUUGCACGUUUUCACUACUAACUUAUUUUAUUUUGUUCACUUGGUGUCUUUUGGUGGUUUUGCAUGUCUUUUGAUUUUACUCGUUUAAUUAACCCACAAAAGGAUAAACGCAAUGUAUACCGAGUGCUGAACUUGCCUCAUCAAAAAUUGUGUUCACACAUUAGCUAAAUUAAAUAAGAUAAUGCUUAGAAUAUUUCAAAACAUGAUCUCUUAAGUAUCUAAGUUUUUAAAAGUGGGAGGGGGAUAUCCCCUAGCCUUUAUGUUCCUUUUUAAUUUGUUAAUUCACAAAAAAGUACCAGCUUUAAUACCCUCUAAUGUUAUUAUUUUUUUCUAAUGUUUUAAUUUUUUUGUAUUAAAAGCUUAAUUUAAGUCUUAGCAUUCAAGUAUCAGAAUUGUUGGCAUACCCAAAUGUUUUAUUUAUCUAAUGUCCGUACUGAAUUGCUUCUAAACAAAUCGAAAUAAUUAUUAUAAGGUGCUUCUAUAUUGGCUUCCAAAGACCAAUUAUAAUGUCACCUGAUCUGUUUAAACAAUCUGAAAUAGUUUUUGUGGAAAAUUGUGAAUUUUUAAUUUCUCAAAUUGUUUCCUUAUCUAGAAUCCAUGAUCAGUAUUUGUUUCGUAAGGAAUUUGUUCAAAAACAUUUGUAUGUCAAUCAGGUGACAAGAAUAAAAACUGAAUGAAAUGAGAUCAUUGAUAA
rnacentral:lncRNA from 1 species